GAUGAACGCUGGCGGCGUGCCUAAUACAUGCAAGUAGAACGCUGAAGGAAGGAGCUUGCUCUUUCCGGAUGAGUUGCGAACGGGUGAGUAACGCGUAGGUAACCUGCCUGGUAGCGGGGGAUAACUAUUGGAAACGAUAGCUAAUACCGCAUAACAGUAGAUGUUGCAUGAUAUCUACUUAAAAGGUGCAAUUGCACCACUACCAGAUGGACCUGCGUUGUAUUAGCUAGUUGGUGAGGUAACGGCUCACCAAGGCGACGAUACAUAGCCGACCUGAGAGGGUGAUCGGCCACACUGGGACUGAGACACGGCCCAGACUCCUACGGGAGGCAGCAGUAGGGAAUCUUCGGCAAUGGACGGAAGUCUGACCGAGAAACGCCGCGUGAGUGAAGAAGGUUUUCGGAUCGUAAAGCUCUGUUGUAAGAGAAGAACGAGUGUGAGAGUGGAAAGUUCACACUGUGACGGUAUCUUACCAGAAAGGGACGGCUAACUACGUG
rnacentral:rRNA from 1 species